rnacentral:rRNA from 2 species
AAGUCGAACGAACUCUGGUAUUGAUUGGUGCUUGCAUCAUGAUUUACAUUUGAGUGAGUGGCGAACUGGUGAGUAACACGUGGGAAACCUGCCCAGAAGCGGGGGAUAACACCUGGAAACAGAUGCUAAUACCGCAUAACAACUUGGACCGCAUGGUCCGAGUUUGAAAGAUGGCUUCGGCUAUCACUUUUGGAUGGUCCCGCGGCGUAUUAGCUAGAUGGUGGGGUAACGGCUCACCAUGGCAAUGAUACGUAGCCGACCUGAGAGGGUAAUCGGCCACAUUGGGACUGAGACACGGCCCAAACUCCUACGGGAGGCAGCAGUAGGGAAUCUUCCACAAUGGACGAAAGUCUGAUGGAGCAACGCCGCGUGAGUGAAGAAGGGUUUCGGCUCGUAAAACUCUGUUGUUAAAGAAGAACAUAUCUGAGAGUAACUGUUCAGGUAUUGACGGUAUUUAACCAGAAAGCCACGGCUAACUACGUGCCAGCAGCCGCGGUAAUACGUAGGUGGCAAGCGUUGUCCGGAUUUAUUGGGCGUAAAGCGAGCGCAGGCGGUUUUUUAAGUCUGAUGUGAAAGCCUUCGGCUCAACCGAAGAAGUGCAUCGGAAACUGGGAAACUUGAGUGCAGAAGAGGACAGUGGAACUCCAUGUGUAGCGGUGAAAUGCGUAGAUAUAUGGAAGAACACCAGUGGCGAAGGCGGCUGUCUGGUCUGUAACUGACGCUGAGGCUCGAAAGUAUGGGUAGCAAACAGGAUUAGAUACCCUGGUAGUCCAUACCGUAAACGAUGAAUGCUAAGUGUUGGAGGGUUUCCGCCCUUCAGUGCUGCAGCUAACGCAUUAAGCAUUCCGCCUGGGGAGUACGGCCGCAAGGCUGAAACUCAAAGGAAUUGACGGGGGCCCGCACAAGCGGUGGAGCAUGUGGUUUAAUUCGAAGCUACGCGAAGAACCUUACCAGGUCUUGACAUACUAUGCAAAUCUAAGAGAUUAGACGUUCCCUUCGGGGACAUGGAUACAGGUGGUGCAUGGUUGUCGUCAGCUCGUGUCGUGAGAUGUUGGGUUAAGUCCCGCAACGAGCGCAACCCUUAUUAUCAGUUGCCAGCAUUAAGUUGGGCACUCUGGUGAGACUGCCGGUGACAAACCGGAGGAAGGUGGGGAUGACGUCAAAUCAUCAUGCCCCUUAUGACCUGGGCUACACACGUGCUACAAUGGAUGGUACAACGAGUUGCGAACUCGCGAGAGUAAGCUAAUCUCUUAAAGCCAUUCUCAGUUCGGAUUGUAGGCUGCAACUCGCCUACAUGAAGUCGGAAUCGCUAGUAAUCGCGGAUCAGCAUGCCGCGGUGAAUACGUUCCCGGGCCUUGUACACACCGCCCGUCACACCAUGAGAGUUUGUAACACCCAAAGUCGGUGGGGU